AUACAUAUUUAUAAAACAUUAAAAAGAGCAUUGGUAGUUCAAGCAUCACUUCUUUUUCUCCCUCCCCCACUCCCCCCACACAGAAAGGAAAAAUAAUAAUAAUUAAAAACAACAAAAGAAAGUACACAUUUUAAAAUUCAAAAUGAGCUAGCAAUGGCUUAUAGUCCUAGGUGUGCAAUAUGGAUUUUACAAAAGGCUAGAAUGCUCCAUUGUAAGUUGUCCUCUCUGUAUAAUGUGUGUUUUAAGAUCUAGGGCCAUUUAGAGAAAGCUUUUUUUCAUGUCAUUUUAUAUUUUUUUUGCCACCCUGAAAUAGGUUUCUCUUUCAAGACGUGUGAGUUUUGGAUUUUUAAAAUCCCUCCUCCCACUUUUUGUCUUUCUGAGGCAAAAGGGGUCUCCUUCGGAUUCAGAUGUUUUUGCUUUUCAAACAACUCCCCUUCCUCCUCCUUGGGGCUGGUGCUCCCUUUUUCUGAUUCUAGUGUUCAGCACUUGAUUUUAAAAAACCAUGACCUCCCUAUCCGGUCACUGCAGCUGGUCUUAGACCCGGCCUUCAGGUCAAAAGGACAUUUCACAAGCUGCUCAGGCCAUGGGCCGCGUCCCUCAACCCCUGGUGUCUCGCAUUCGGUGCGGAGGCCUUAGCAGCCUCUGUGUGUGAGAGAGAGAAACAUAAUGUUCAUCGGCCACUUUUUAGUCAUCCUGCAUUUUCAUCCACCCCAACUUCAGUCUGGGGACUGAAAAAGGAUAGCUAUUUCUGACCAAAUGUGAUUCCACAUAGGGACUGUAUGGCAUACUGCUAGGAGGAGGGGGGGGGAAACAAGCUUAUUUCUUAAGAAAUGGUGGCCUGUCAUUCUCUAAAUGACGGUGCUUCCCCACUUUGGGUCCCCAGAUGUUCUUGGACGACAACUCCCAGAAAUCCUGGCCCCAGCGCACAUCUGGGGGCAAAGGCUUCUGGGAGUUGUAGCCCAGGAUCACCUGGGUCCCAAGGUGGGGAGCCCCUGCCCUCAAAUGACCUCCUCAGAUCCAUUACUGCAAGUUACACUUGCUCUGAGCUUGGAAAGCCCGUCCCAUGACGUCCUCCUCUCAUCCCUGCACACAUUAAGUGCUGCUUCUUGAAACUGGAGGUGUCUCGGGGUGCUGUGGAUCACAUAUAUUUUUAAAUUAAUGUUUUGUUACUUUUUUAAGUAGAGGAAAAGAGACGGGAGGCUUGCACAUUUGGGAACAGGCCAGAGGGGAUCCACCCACACCUCUUCACUUGGUUUUAACCCACAAAACGUUUGGCUAGAAGAGGGGGGGAGUUUGGGGCCACGGGGGAGAAACGGCUACUGGGUGAGUAAGCCUGGAAUAACAAGCCCUCUUCCGUGCCCCCUACUAUGUAGUCACUGACCAAGUGACAAGAUCUGCUGGGAGCUUUUAUUGCAACAGCGAAUGCACAAGAAGCAAGAAGCACCAGAGGGUUGCAAAACCCCGUCCACACACCUCCACCGUGGCUGCUGCUCAGAGGGUCUCUAGGGUGUCUGGGAGCUACUAACGUCAGUCAGAUGUUACAGGGAAGCCCCCCACCAUCCGUUAACAUAUUCACAGAGUAGUUUUAAACCUUGCCUCCCCCGCCGUUUGCACAGCAUCACAGGUUCCCACAAAGCACCUUUUGGUGAGCGACAGUCCGCCUGAUCUUCUGACUAACGACUCCCCGAUUCUCCUUCCCCAUUUUACUACAGUUAAGGAGGGCUGGAAUAAAAUCUCCCUGUGCUAGUCAGAUAGUUUUGAAUGCCACACAACUGUUGGUCUGACUCUUUAUUUUUUCCUCUUCUCCCUCUCCCCCCCCCAUGCCCCAUCUUCCUUUUUGGUAAGGUGCCCCCCUCCCUCUCUCUGAAGUGGCGAGACCCAUCGCUUUGUCUGAAAAGCUGUCGAGGGCGAGACCUGGCCCUGGCCUGGGUGCCGACGAUCCUCAACACCCUACCAAGGUGUUCAGAGGACCACUGUCCCCCUCGACAAACGCUCAGAGGACUGCAGCCUCUUGGACCCUGUCCUGUGGUGGCUUUGCUCAAAGGGACCCGAAGGCCUCCAGCGUAGUGCUUUCCGCCAGCUAGGACAGCGCGUGUGGAAGAACGCUGCACCCCCUGCCGAAGUCUUGGAGGUAAGAGCACCCCCUGGAAGCAUGCUUGGUUUGCCCUGUCCCUCCCCACGUCCUCCUUCACCCCCUGCUCACCCUGGGCCUUCCAGUCAAGGCCACAAGCCAAGGGGAAAGAGUGGGCAGGAAAAGGUCUCUAGGAAGAAUUGGUGGCCCCUGGAUUGGAGCAGGGAGGCCGAGAGGCCCGGGCGGGAAAUACCUAUAGAUCUGGGAAGCGAACGGCCAGGGACUCUUUUGGUUUGGGCGGCUGGUUAAAUCUGAGCCUCUCUUUCACACCGGAGGAAUCUUUUCAGCAUCAACCCCCCACCCCUGUGUUUCACCGCCCCUGCUAUGGAAUCAGAGCCUCGCACCAGGAAGGGACCGUUCCACUUGGGUGGGAACACUGCAAUAUAAAUAAGUUUUCUUCCUUUAAAAAAAGAGAUUAUUAUUAUCAUUAUUAUUAUUAAUAUUAUUAUUAUCCUUUAGUAACAAAGAGGACCUGGAAGAUCAGGAAACUGCCCUCCCACUUCUAUGCCCUGUUCAAUUCAUUAAUGCUUCUCUCUGUUUAUUUUUUUUUAAACAAAAAGCAAAAAAACAAAAAACAAAACCCUCAAACGGACAAUAAAUACCCCAUUUCCCAACCAUUCCCAAGCUGCCUGAGACCCCCUGUUUCUCCCGUUCAUUUGAUGCUGGAGAAAGGAAAAAAACCAAAACAGAAGAAUGAGCGAGAGCAGGACCCCCUAACCCUCACUGACCCCGUGGCCCAGAUGGCGAAGGACGUCUUCGCCUUGGGCUUUCAGGACCACCCCUAACCAGUCGCCCCUGGACGCUAGCGGCCCCCACCCACCCCCUCCGCGGGACUGGGAAGAGUGUUAAAGGAUAGAUAGACACAGGGGGAAUAAUGGAGCUGGGGGGGGAAGAGACCGCUCUGCCCCCAGCCAAAGGUUUGGGGAGGGGGGGAGAGCACAUCCGUCAAGGGAAAGGACGGCUUCUUCAGGGCCCAACCCAUCUGCGCAAUGGUAAAACGUUUGGCCAUCUGCCACCCUGUAAACAUGUGCGUCCCAACAGGUGGGUCCCUCUGUCCUGCCCCUGCACGGGUGCUUUCCGGGGUGUGCGUGGGUGUGAGGGUGGGUGUUUGUUCCUUCCUUCCUUCUUUCUUUCCUCCUCCUGUUUUUUUUGCAUGGUCCAAAGAUUCAAGGUUUCCCCUUUUGUCAUCUUGUGCACUUUCUGGGGCGGAGUUGGACAGGUUUCGUUUUCCCGCUUGCCAUUCUACCAUUUGUUCUCGCCUCACACAGUGGAGUCCUCUCAGUUAAUUCAGUUCCUGUUUUGUUUGUUU